GACGAACGCUGGCGGCGUGCCUAAUACAUGCAAGUUGAGCGCUGAAGGUUGGUACUUGUACCAACUGGAUGAGCAGCGAACGGGUGAGUAACGCGUGGGGAAUCUGCCUUUGAGCGGGGGACAACAUUUGGAAACGAAUGCUAAUACCGCAUAAAAACUUUAAACACAAGUUUUAAGUUUGAAAGAUGCAAUUGCAUCACUCAAAGAUGAUCCCGCGUUGUAUUAGCUAGUUGGUGAGGUAAAGGCUCACCAAGGCGAUGAUACAUAGCCGACCUGAGAGGGUGAUCGGCCACAUUGGGACUGAGACACGGCCCAAACUCCUACGGGAGGCAGCAGUAGGGAAUCUUCGGCAAUGGACGAAAGUCUGACCGAGCAACGCCGCGUGAGUGAAGAAGGGUUUCGGAUCGUAAAACUCGGUUGGUAGAGAAGAACGUUGGUGAGAGUGGAAAGCUCACCAAGUGACGGUAACUACCCAGAAAGGGACGGCUAACUACGUG
rnacentral:rRNA from 1 species